rnacentral:rRNA from 1 species
GUUAGCGGUGUGGAUUAGGCAUGCAAGUCGCGCGUGAAAGUCUUCGGACGAGUAAAGCGGCGAAAGGGUGAGUAAUACGUAGUCAAUCUAUCCUCGAGACCGGGAUAACUACUGGAAACGGUGGCUAAUACCGGAUGGUCUCGUCGGGGGGCAUCCCCUGGUGAGUAAACGGUAGCGCAAGCUUCUGCUCGAGGAGGGGACUACGGGCUAUCAGCUUGUUGGUGAGGUAACGGCUCACCAAGGCGAUGACGGCUAGCCGGUCUGAGAGGACGAUCGGCCACACUGGGACUGAGACACUGCCCAGACUCCUACGGGAGGCUGCAGUCGAGAAUCUUCCGCAAUGGGCGAAAGCCUGACGGAGCGACACCGCGUGCAGGAUGAAGGCCUUCGGGUUGUAAACUGCUGUCACGCUAUAGGAAAGGGCUGGUGUGAAUAGCGCCAGUCUUGACUAAAGCGAGAGGAAGCACCGGCUAACUCCGUGCCAGCAGCCGCGGUAAGACGGAGGGUGCAAACGUUGUUCGGAAUCACUGGGCAUAAAGAGCACGUAGGCUGCGCUCUAAGUCAGGUGUGAAAUCC